CUCAGUUCUUUGGAAAAAUUAGGUAACUUGAACGUAGGGCACAUGGGCUGUCACACCACCCCAUUUAGAGCCCUUAUUGGCAUAGAGAUGAUAAAAGUGGACUCUGUGAUGGCCUCUCAUGAUCUCAGGAUAGCAGGAUAGGGGAACUCUGAGUCAUGGCCAAAAUAAUUGGUCAAUGUACAGCCUCAGACAGCUGGGAAUACCACCCCAAAUCACUUGGAUAAGGAGAUGUUUUCCUUAUCCUGUGUCUUUAACUCUGAGACGGAUGGAGUUGAACAAUCAACGAUUGUUAAAAAUGUACCAAAUGUGUAAGCAUCAUGAGGUGUUUAAGCUGAGCUUUUAAAUUAAAAUUCUGCUGGGU
rnacentral:lncRNA from 1 species